rnacentral:lncRNA from 1 species
CUUCUCUCUUUCUUCAAAAUUCCGAAGACUUCUUUCAAAAGAUAGAGAGGAAACGAGAAAAAAAAAAAUUAAGCUACAGUUUUCUGCUGAAUUUAAACUCCAGUCUAAAGACACUAUGCAAAUGGCUUAUGCUAAGAGGAAAAUACCCCUUCUCCCCCGACGAGAAGUGUAGAUGCAUCCAAAACCCCUCACCGCUUGUCUCUGCUGCCAGAGGCCCAGUACGGGCACAACUUGUGGUUAUGUUUUGGCUUGUUUCUUACCUCCGGGCCUUCUUUAUAGCUCUGCCCCCCACCCCACCAGCGGCGGCGCUCCCGCGGCGGCACCCAGGCCGCCUGUUGGCUGCGGCGCCCGGCCGGCUCGGCACACUCCCCGCGCCGCGGCGCACACGCGCGCCCCCGCCUCUUCCCGCCUGGGCCGCUCCGCCGGCGGCGGAGGCGGCGGUGAUGGUGGCAGGUAGCGAGCCAGCCGGCCUCGGUCCGGUAACCCAUGGCAACCGCCCUGGAUUGUCAAACCCAAAACAGAUCCACCCACUGAGGCGGCGGAGAAAAAGCGGUUCGGCGGGUGCAGCACUCAGGAAAUGAGGUGGCAAGCUAGACACACACCUACUUUGAGACAGCGUGCACAGGGCUCCCGAAGUAUGCAUUGACACCAUACGCUGCCAAUGAUCCGGGCCUGGGGGAGUCCCCGAGGGUGCAUCGGCUCCACACACGGCCACGGCUCCUACAGGGCUUUUAUGGCACAGCUUGCCAAUGAUCCGUGCAUUAAAGACUCCCGGAGUACUCAUUGACACGAUAGACUGGAGUUGUUUGGGUCUACCGUGCCGAUGAUCCGGGGAUAAUUGCGGUGUCUUAAGCGCUUUCAUUGAGAUCAAAGUGCUCCCGGUC